UCUACUUUUAAUAAUUAAAAAUUUAAACGAAAUAUGACAAGGGAGGAAAUUUAAACCUAAAAACUGAAGCAACUCUCCCCCUCAUUCCAACUUCUUCCGCGAACAGAAGAAAUGGCUUUGAAAAUUCUGCAUUAUCAGUCGCCAUUAAGGUACUAUCUUUCUCUAUCCUCUUCGCAACUUAGAUUUUUCACCUCUGAACCCUCUUUAGAUCACGACGUAGAUAAAGUUUUCCGCAUAAUCAAUGAUUCGUCUUCAAUCCAAAACUUGAAACAAUCCCUAAAUUCAACUGGGAUUUCUCUGUCAAAUGACCUAAUUGAUAGAGUUCUGAAAAGGGUUCGUUUUAGUCAUUCAAAUCCACUUCCAGCUCUGAAUUUCUUUAACUUAACUGGGAGCAGAAAAGGGUUUUAUCACACGCAGUUUUCGCUUGAUACUAUGCUUUACAUUUUGGGAAGAACUAGGAAAUUUGACUUAAUUUGGGAUAUUUUGAUUGACAUUAAGAGGUCGGAUCGUUCUUUGAUUUCUCAUAGGACUUUACAGGUUGUCUUGGGUAGGAUUGCGAAGGUUUGUUCUGUUAGGCAAACUGUAGAAGGGUUUAAGAAGUUUAGGAAACUUGCCCCUGAAUUUGAUACUCGUUGUUUCAAUGCAUUGUUGAGGGUUUUAUGUCAAGAGAAGACGAUGGUGGAUGCCCGGAAUGUGUAUCAUGGGUUAAAGGGUCAGUUUAAGCCGGAUGUGAUUACUUUUAAUAUAUUGUUGUCUGGGUGGAGGUCUUCUGAGGAAGCCGAAGGUUUUUUCGAGGAGAUGAAGGAGUUGGGUGUGAAACCUGACAUUGUAACGUAUAAUAGCUUGAUUGAUGUUUAUUGUAAGAGUGGAGAAGUUGUGAAGGCGUACCAAUUGUUUGAUAAAAUGCAGGAGGAAGAAAUAUCCCCAGAUGUAAUCACAUAUACGACUUUGAUUGGGGGGUUGGGGAAGGCAGGUCAGCCGGAUAAAGCUAAGGAUGUGUUGAAAGAGAUGAGGGAGUAUGGGUGUUACCCGGAUGCUGCAGCGUAUAAUGCUGCCAUUAGGAACUAUUGCAUAGCAAAGAGACUUGGUAAUGCUUUUGAGUUGAUGAAUGAGAUGGUGUCCAAGGGGUUGAAUCCAAAUCCGACUACUUUUAACCUGUUUUUUAGGGUGUUUUAUUGGUCGAAUGACUUGAAGAGUGCAUGGAGUUUGUAUCAGCAGAUGAAGAUAGACGGUUGCUUGCCAAACACACAGUCUUGCAUGUUUUUAAUUAGGCUGUGUAAAAGGCAGGAAGAGGUGGAGAUGGCACUUGAGUUGUGGAAAGACAUGGUAGAGAAGGAUUUUGGGUCGUAUAUUUUGGUGUCUGAUGUGUUGUUUGAUCUUCUUUGUGACAUGGGAAAGUUGGUUGAGGCGGAGACAUGUUUUUUGCAGAUGAUAAAUAAGGGCCAAAAGCCAAGCAAUGUUUCUUUUAGGAGAAUUAAGGUGCUAAUGGAAUUGGCAAAUAAACAUGAAGCUUUAAAGAAUUUAUCAGAGAAGAUGGAUAUUUUUGGACCACCAGUCAAAUUUCGAAAGCCAAAUGAGAACUUUGAUGAUGCCACACCUCUGCGAUCAAUUGCACGUUGAGUUAGACUGCCACGUGAUUUUUCCGUGAUGGCUUUUCUGUGUUAAGCUUGUGACCCUUCCAUGGUUUACAAGGCCGUUGCACGUCCCUUGAUGUCUAGCUUGCAACAUGGUUUGACCAUGGUCUAGAGAUGCAGGGUCUCAUAUUUCCAUCUGCUGGCAUAGCAUGCUGAGCAAACAGUUGAGUCACUGGGAUGGCCAGUACUGACCCUUCUGCUGUUUUUAUGAAAUGCUUCGCAAUAGUUGCAAAUGCCUGUUUGUCUCACCUUUUUUGGUAAGCCUGUCUUUUUGAGAAUGCAAGCAUGGACCAACCAAUUUAAAACUUCCUCAAGUUAUAUGCUACCAGAAGAGCUCAAAACAGCAAACCUAUGAAACCGGAAAAACUCCUGAAACCACGAAAUCUUGUGAAGUCAAAGGUAGAUUCAGCCUAAAGGAAGGUAUGUGUAUUACGUGUUAGUCAGACGUCAGAAGACCCUUUCUCAGCCAACCCAAUGAACAAUCAACUGUUUCUCCCUCUUGAUUGAAAAGUAGAAUUCUUAAAUCCAUCAAAUUUCUCAACUCUCCUCUUGGUUGCUUUGGUGGGCUUUGCUGCAAAUUCUGAAUCACCUUUGGAUGACCAGAUAGGUUCAACAUACAUGUACUGUAGUUCCUUCUGCUACUAAAAAUGUUGAAUGAUGAACAUCAUAUGUGUUCGUAGUAUGUAUCUAUGUAAAUCACUUUAAUUUGAAAGCAUUAGAGAAAACAGGUAUACAGGAUGCCCCGGAUGACUCUGAAUCACACUAUUCGUCUGGUUUUGCAGUGGCAUCCAACGUUUUUGUGCGACAAAUCAAGUUAUGUGGCCAAGCUUUGAUUAGUGUGCAAAACAGUGGAACUUUUAUAACAAGUUCGAAUCUCCACUACUAAAAUCAUCAUAGAACAUUAUAAGAGACCCUGACAUUUCUAAAAUACCCUUCUCUAGGUAGAAAGAGGGAAUUUCAAACAAACUUCAAACGCCGAGAUAUAA